GGGGAUUUAGCUCAGCGGCAUAAGCGCCUGCCUUGCAAGCAGGGGGGUCAUGAGUUUGAUCCCCG
rnacentral:tRNA from 1 species